UAGAGUCAAAAGAUGAUUGAAGAGGUUGUUGUAAUAAUUUAGUAUUCACUCAUUCACUCUCCAGCUCCUGAGUCUCCUCUCUGUGUUGUGGGGAGAUGAGGAGUUGGAGAAGGGGUAAUGCCUCCUACAGCCUUUAAAACUCUUCUUACAACUGAUGGAGGCUGUGUUUCUCCCCUUCACUGGGAUGAAGCUGCUACUGGGCUGGCCUGCUCUAGGCUGAGCCCUGUGUGAAUUUCCUCAUUCUGAAAAAAAAAAUACUGGGUGAUCAUGAGGCUGUCAGCCGUGUUUCCUGCUUCACAAGUAGAGCUUUGUUUGAAGAAGUUUCAGAGUGCAAAAGUCAGAUUGAAUACAAUGGAGACACAAAAUGAAAUUGCUCUUUACAAGAAAUACAGGUGCAAUACAAUGGAAAUACACUUGUUUUAACACCACAAAUGUCCUGAGGAUUUCUAAAGGCUACUGAGUAGAUUAAGCCAAAGUGGAUUUAGGAAAGGAAAGAAGGAAGGCUGGUCAGAGAGGCAUGUAGGGGUGUGUGGGUGUGUGGGUCAGUACCCAUAUGUGUGAUUGGUAAGCAGGGACUGUAUGAACUUGAUGGAAGGGCUUUGAACACUAAUUAAAAACUCAACCUAGGAUAGAGGUUCCACUAGAAUGGGAAGAGCUGACUCUUCCUUCCCUACCCCCAGUUAUCUCCUCUGUAUUCCUGUGUUCACCAUUGCCUGCAUACAUGCAGAUACAUCCUCAUGCUCUGUCUGCUGACUAGUGAGUUCACAGAUACCCCACAGACCCUCUGGAUUAGGAACCAGGGGAAAGAGGAACGGGAAACAAACAUUCCACACACUAUGUCUACAAAAUGGGAGAAUCUCUUCCUGAAUUAGGUAUUUUUAAUCCUGGUCUAGGCUGCUUUCCAUGACCUGGGUGAGUACUUUGUACCAAGAGAGUCAGUCAACAGUCAGGAGGUAUUUAUGUAGUGCCUGCUAUAUUUCCACAUUGCUGUAGGGGCUAAGCUUGCAAUCAAGACUGGCAGUUUGCAGGUGUAGAGUGUUUUGUUUGACUUGAACGGUGCAAUUUACUUAUUUAUUUUAGUUUAAAUGCCUUUAGAUGGAGCAAGCACUUGACAGUUAAUCAUAGUCUUGCACCUAACUGUUGCUUUGCUUGCAGUUUAUGAGAGAAGAGACUCACCUAUAUGAAAGGAUUGUGUCCCUUCAAUCCAAGGGCAUCAUCCUAAGCUGCAGAGAGACUGGAUCUGGCUUUUUGAGCAGUUAACUGGGUCUUACACUUCCGGCUCACAAGUACUCAUGUCCUUGUGUUCAUUCAGCCCUUCAUUCAACAAAUGUUUACUGAGCACCUACUAUGUGCCAGAUGUUGAAGUCCAAAGAGGUGAACAAUGGAAAGACAUCAGCUGUGAGUCAGUGGGGAGUGUCUGAGGAUGGAGGCGCUAUGGCUCCCUGGAGAUCUCUUGGUGUGUCCACAUGCCGGGUGGGUCCACGGACAGGAGCUCUUCUGGUGCUUCCCUCACUCCCCACCCGACCCAUGCAGUACCCACCCUCUGCAGCUGGGCCCUCCAGCUGGCUCAGCUCAGCCCUGUUUCAUGUUUAGUCGGUCUUUGAUCUUCACUCUUUAACUAAAGCCAGAGCCAGGUGAAACCUGAUUUUAUCCUUUUCUCAAAUGUGAACUAAGCUCAAAAGAAAGAGAAGGCUGAUAUGGACCCACAUCUAAACUCACAUCUGAAAUAAAAACUUGAGUGGAUUUUCCUGUUGAUCUAGAAUUGGUCACUGGGGCUGAAAUUGAGGACAAAGAGAUGGUAAGUCCUGUGCAAGCUGGAGGGAACUGCCAGCACUCGCAUACAGCACUAGCCUUGCUGCCACCAGCUCUGCCCCAGGUCCCUCCCAGUGUGUAUAUGAGAAGGGAUUGGAGGGGAGAGAAAGUGUAAGCUAAAGUCAUUGCAGCAUGGGGUUCAUUAUGAGAGGCAAACCUCUCGCCCUUCCAUUCACCUCUAAUUCCCCAAGUCAAGGGAGGGGCUCAAGAGAAUUGAGGGUGCCUAUAACUAGAAGAAGAAGCUCAUAUUCUAAUUUGUGAAUUAAACGUCUGCUUAGAUCACCAACCUUCUGAUCUGGCCCUAUGCUUGGAAGAGCAGGAGGAGAGACAAGGAGGGAGAGAGGGCAGCGUGAACACAGUGUGACCAGAGACAAGCCUGCGUGUCUGCAUUUCAGUGUUUUAAGAGGACAUGAAUUUUCCAUGGGUCCAGUGGACAAUGUGGAAGGUGGGUGGGCUUGAGUUGCCCUGCCUGUUUUGGCACCUGCUGCUGUGUGGGUGGUGGGCCCCAGCAGCAGGAGACUGCAGUGUGCCAAGGUACACGGAGAGGUAAGAGCUGGAGUUGGACCUCCCAUCUCAGAGGAGUGUGCAGGGGAGGGGAGCAGCCCCGGAUGGAGGCUUGUUGGUGAGAGUUGAGGCCAACAGCAGAGUUAACUACCAAGCUUGCAUUCCUGUUCCAUGCUCUUUCCACCCUGAGCUCCAGAGAAGCCAAGCCUUUAAGGGUUGAGAGGCCUAAGGGUCCAGAGUUCCUCACUCCAAGCAGUCAGGGUCCCUGUCAGCCUUGCUGGGGGUUGGGGGAAGGGAGCAGAACGAUUUAAAUUAAGUUUGAGAUUGAAGUUUUAAACAUAUCUGACUUUUAAUAACCCAAAGUGAUCAGAAAGUUAUGAAAUUUGAUGAAGGUGCUAUUAAGAGAUGGGAAUGGGUGAUUAGAUGAGGCUUGAUUAAAGGCAGUGAAUCGAAAAAAACUCAUGUUUAUAUCCCACUGUGUUGAGACACAUUUUAGAACAUUAUUGAAAUGGAACCAAAAUCUGAAAAAUAUUAGGGCUCCAGCCAGCCCUGCUCUGACCUGGACUGUGAGUGAACUGGCAGGCCCUGGCAGUGAUUCGUGGGGUGCCUUGUUUGAGGGAGUGGCAUUGAACCCUUGGAGUGUGUCCAUUGGAGUGCAGAAUUGAAUGUCACCCAAGUCAUAGAAACAAGUGGAGAAGCUCUUCAGAAACAUUUAGUGAGCACCAGUUGAUUAGUUAAAUUAAUAAUUCAAGUAUACAAAACAAGGAGGAAACAAAAGGAAAGAUUUCAGAAGUCUCUUAAAAUUGGGAAAACUCUGAAGAAGGAAUAGGCAGCCACCAAUGACAGGAGUCCCAUCCAUGCAGGAUAAUGUUCCUGGGAAGCACUUUUUGCCUGGGGAUUUUAUGGAAUAUUUAGAACAGUGACAGUCAACAGGGGCUGCCCACGUGCAAAACCCCCUUGUGUUAGGAAGCAUUCCCAAACAUCUGGGAACCACCUGUGAAGUAGAUCUUAGCCUAUACUCCUUCCUAUAAAAACACUGAGGAUUUUUUCUUUUUUAAUGUUGGAAGACACUUUCCUAAUCCCCCAAUUCCCUUCCUUCCUAAGAGAAUAACUGGAUACUUGGCAUACUUUGUGUUUUGGCCACAGAAUACAUAUUUUCACAUGACUGUAAUCAUAGUGCAGACACAAUUUUGGUCUCUCCUUUAGCUGUAAGUGCAGACUUCCAGUUACUUCUCUUCAUAAUGGUAGAAUAUUCUAUUGUAAAUGCUAGGGCACACUGAACUUUUCUUGUAUGGUUAUUAGUAUCUUCAAAAUUAUAGAUGCUAGUGUGGUGAAUAUCUUCAUACACAUGGAGCUUCCUCCUUUUCAAUAAUGUUAUGAAGAUACAUUCUCAGAGGUGAUGUUUCAGAGUCAGAUUAGGUGGCUUUCGUUGACCCUUGUAGCGCUUUUCUGCCGUGGUCCCGACUUACGGCGUUCACAGUGGGACAGGGAUAUUCCUGGAGGUGUGGAUGGGGUGCCCCAUGAUGGCCUGUCACAGGCAGAGUGCACUGCACAGAAGAAGGAAAUGCUGGGAUAUUUGCAGGCCACUCAUUGAUCAGGACAAGGAGCUGUGAAGGAACUAUUUAGGUUCAAGUAUUUGGGGUUGAACAGUGUUGACUUUCCAUAUUGAAUACAGGACAUUUAUCCAUCUCUUCUUCCCAGCCACAAUCAAUGAUGGUUAAACUCUUAAGAGCCCACCUGCUGUUUGUCAUUACAAAACCCAAGGUCCCCAGGUAAGAUGAAGCCCAAAUCAUUCAUUUACUUUAAGUCCUGGUUUGAGAAAUGACUCCAGUACACAGAUCUGUGGUAGGUCUCACAGAAGAGGGAAAAGGUGGAGACUACUUUCCCCUUGCUCAGAUGAAGCUUCCUUCCCUCCUCUUGACAUGCUCAGAGUAUGGCACCAUUGUCGUCAUAAUCAUCAUCAGUCACAUUUGAGCACUGACUCUGAGCCAGCACUUUCUCAAUUUCACCAUCUCGUUUAGCUUUCACAGCAAUCCUACGAGGUAGAUAAUGGCAUCAUCCCUAUUUACAGAGAAGGAAACUGAGGCAUAGAGGUUAAGUAUUAAGUAAUUUGCCCAAGGACACAUAGCUAAUACGUGACUGUAUUGGGCCAUGAAUGUGGACAGUUGGCUAAGACAGAAUUUCUAGCACUGAGGAGCUCACACCGUGUGUGUGUGUGUGUGUUUGUGUGUUUGUGUUUGUGUGUAUGUUGUGUU
rnacentral:lncRNA from 1 species